rnacentral:lncRNA from 1 species
UAUAGUAGUGCAAACAUUUACAUAAAGGAUUAUAUUUGUUAUCAACUUUAAGGAAAGGAAGUUGCACAUAUGAAGACUAAUUUAUUCGGUGAAGAAUAACACAUUACGGGCGUGUUUGGUUCGAAGUCGGAGUCGGAAUCGGAAUCGGAAUCAAAAUAAGCUGGAAUCGGAAUCGGAAUGACUCAUUACCUAAUUCUGUUUGGUUCAUCACCUGAAUCGGAAUCGGAAUAAAUCAUUCCCAUUGUCGGUGUUUGGUUCAGGUGGAUAUAAAAAACGUAAUCAAAUUAAUAUACUAACAUUAUCUUUAUAAUAUAUUAAUUUAAAUUCAAAUUAAAAAUUAAAUAUUAAAAAUUUACAUCAAAAUUUUGAAAUAAUGUCAAAAUUUUAAAUCUAUUUUUUUUUAAAAAAAUAAACUUUGAAGUUGAGUGGAUAAUUCAAAAUAUGAAACUAAAUUUUAAUUUAUUCAAAUUCAAACUUAAAAUUACAAUUUAAAUUUUAAUUUGAAUCCAUAAAUUUAAUUUAAGUUUGAAAUAAAAUUUGAAUAAAACUUUAUAUAAAUUAAAAUUUAAUUUAAAUUCAAAUUCAUAAGUUAGAUUCGAAAUACUUGAUUAAAUUUUAAUUUUUAAUUUAGGUUUAAAUUAAAAUUUAAAAUUAUAUAUUUAAUUUUUAAAUUUUAACUCAUAUUUUAAUUAAAAAAAUUAAAAAAAUAAAUUUAAUCCGAAUAAAUAUCCAUUCCGUCCGGAUUCAACUUUCAAUCCGGCCUCCUAGGCCGGAUUGAAAAAAAGGUAAUUGGGGGAUUCCCAUUCCACUCGGGAAUCGGAAUCGGAAUCGGAAUGGGAUUCCUGCGUACCAAACACCCACAAACGAAUUUACUCAUUCCGAUUCCGAUUCCAGGGUGAAAAAAAGCGAACCAAACACUCCCUACAUAUGCUUGAAUUAG